rnacentral:ncRNA from 1 species
UAUUUAGCGAUGAUCACGACAGGUCUUCACAAUAACAGUUAAUUUAGAGACUUCGCGGUUGGUGAAAGCGAAGAACUGCUUGUGUGAGAUAUCCCGUGUGAGCUAUUUAUCUGAAACCACAAAGUAAGAUAAAUCGGAUGCCUACCGUUAUCAGGCUUAAGUGCAUUACAAGAUGUAAUGAAUUAAGGUGGUACCGCGUUAUAAACGUCCUUGUU